rnacentral:rRNA from 1 species
UGAGACAGGUGCUGCAUGGCUGUCGUCAGCUCGUGUUGUGAAAUGUUGGGUUAAGUCCCGCAACGAGCGCAACCCUUAUCCUUUGUUGCCAGCGAUUCGGUCGGGAACUCAAAGGAGACUGCCGGUGAUAAACCGGAGGAAGGUGGGGAUGACGUCAAGUCAUCAUGGCCCUUACGAGUAGGGCUACACACGUGCUACAAUGGCGCAUACAAAGAGAAGCGACCUCGCGAGAGCAAGCGGACCUCACAAAGUGCGUCGUAGUCCGGAUCGGAGUCUGCAACUCGACUCCGUGAAGUCGGAAUCGCUAGUAAUCGUGGAUCAGAAUGCCACGGUGAAUAC